UAUAACUUUUUUUUUAUUCAUGUAGGUCCCCCUGAAUAUAAAAUAAUUUUUUUAUAAUUUUUUUUAUUCAUUCCGUACAGCUGACUGCACGCCGACUGCAUUUGCCGACUGUAUCUAACAAAGCCCUUCUCCAAAAUAUCGAAGAAAGUUUGGGGAAAAACUUCUUCUUUCUUCCCUCCCAACUGGUUCCCUAAAUUAAGGAUUUCAUUUUGGGUUUUCUACGGUGGUUGUCCAAAUAUGAGGAGCCAGUAUACAUUCCUAACUCUUUUGUUUAUCCUUUUCUCACUCUGUUAUCCCAUGUGAUACUCUUGUCCCAAACCCUGGAUGGUAUCGGUCCUCUCUCACAUUGUUUGUGUCCAUUGAAGGCAACCCCUCUAUAGCUCUUUGAUAGGUAAGUUUCUGCCCUUCUCACUGACAGACUAGCCUCACACACGUUCAAACUCUCUCAUUGGUUUCAUUUGAGAGAAAUCCUAGUUUCGAAUCCAUAUACUCAGUGUAUAUUCAUGUGUUCCGUUGGUUCUUUGUGAGCUGGAAAUCGAAAUUGAAACCCCAUCGAUAACUGAUUGUACAUUGAUAUCUCACAUGUCUUUGUCUGAGCUUCUCUGUGGUUUCACCAAGUGAGAUUUUGUUAGAGAUUUGGAAAGCAAUUUAAAGAAAAUCAGUUCAGGGGCUCUUUGUUUUGCUACCUCGUUCAUCCUAACUGAUGGUUGGAUUUGUUUGUUGGCAAUUAUACUAUAUAGCCUUUAGCUAUGAUGAAGGCAAAUGAGUGUGGAUAAAGAAAAAUUGGCACAUACUCAAUGGCAGGGUAACCCGAAUGGCCAAUGAAUACUGGCAACCGAUGUUGCAGCCAUUGAAGAAAUUGCCACUUCCUAUAUGUCAUCAUUCAUUUUCUGAGUUGGUUUGCAAUAUCUGUCUCAAUUGCUUUUGAGCUUCUAACAUGUUUAGUUGAACUGUUCAUGAUCUAUAAUUAGUAUAACCUGAUGGAUUCAUAAGGCCAUAGA